ACUUGUAUUACAUCAAUGUAUCCCCCAAUAUCAACAGAGCGCAGUGUGUAUAGGCCUAGCUGUCGUUUCCUAGUAAAGCGUUGAAUCACGUUAUGCAUACAUGUAUAUCACAAAAUUUCAAGAUGGAGGACGAGGAAGUUAGAACGCGAUAAGGGAGACGCCGCAAUCACAAAUCGCUUAAUAGCCGCAUCUUGCGAAAACGACGAUGAAAAGAAAACUUCUGAAGCAUUGUAGAGGGGAUUAGAGUUAAUCAUGGCGUCUGGUUCCAGAGACGAUGGUUGGGAUUCAUCUGAUUCUGACAGUGAUUGGAGUAAGUAAUUCUUCCUAGCUUUUUGUGGUUUUUUUACAGGGAUUAUGAUGUCAUGUUUUCUAUGUUGAUUGAAUCCAUUAGAUUAAUAAUUCUUGACACCAAUGACAAAACCUCGCUGGAAGAAUGACAUGAUAGGUUUGUGGUUGUGCCUGAAGAUAAGACACUGAACAGCUUGACCGUCAUCUGAAAGCAAUAUUGCAAUUCAGGACCUAGGCUGCUGGAUAACCAGGAAACCUUUCGUUCACAUUAUCCGAUUUGCCAAAAGACAAAAACCUGAUUUAACGGUCUUCAGCAUUUAAGUCUCUUUUUCAAAUAUCUGCUUAUCAAAAUGAUAUUGCUGAU